rnacentral:rRNA from 1 species
AGAGUUUGAUCCUGGCUCAGAUUGAACGCUGGCGGCGUGCCUAACACAUGCAAGUCGAGCGGUAACAGGUGUAGCAAUACAUGCUGACGAGCGGCGGACGGGUGAGUAAUGCUUGGGAAUCUGCCUGUUAGUGGGGGACAACCCGGGGAAACUCGGGCUAAUACCGCAUACGCACUACGGUGGGAAGCCGGGGACCGCAAGGCCUGGCGCUAACAGAUGAGCCCAAGUCGGAUUAGCUAGUUGGUAGGGUAACGGCCUACCAAGGCGACGAUCCGUAACUGGUCUGAGAGGACGACCAGCCAGACUGGGACUGAGACACGGCCCAGACUCCUACGGGAGGCAGCAGCAAGGAAUUUUCCCCAAUGGGCGCAAGCCUGAGGGAGCAACGCCGCGUGCAGGACGACGGCCUUCGGGUUGUAAACUGCUUUUGGGAGGGACGACAACGACGGUACCUCCCGAAUAAGCCCCGGCUAACUCUGUGCCAGCCGCCGCGGUAAUAC